rnacentral:rRNA from 1 species
GAUGAACGCUGGCGGCGUGCCUAAUACAUGCAAGUCGAGCGAACGGACGAGAAGCUUGCUUCUCUGAUGUUAGCGGCGGACGGGUGAGUAACACGUGGAUAACCUACCUAUAAGACUGGGAUAACUUCGGGAAACCGGAGCUAAUACCGGAUAAUAUUUUGAACCGCAUGGUUCAAAAGUGAAAGACGGUCUUGCUGUCACUUAUAGAUGGAUCCGCGCUGCAUUAGCUAGUUGGUAAGGUAACGGCUUACCAAGGCAACGAUGCAUAGCCGACCUGAGAGGGUGAUCGGCCACACUGGAACUGAGACACGGUCCAGACUCCUACGGGAGGCAGCAGUAGGGAAUCUUACGCAAUGGGCGAAAGCCUGACGGAGCAACGCCGCGUGAGUGAUGAAGGUCUUCGGAUCGUAAAACUCUGUUAUUAGGGAAGAACAGAUGUGUAAGGAACUGUGCACAUCUUGACGGUACCUAAUCAGAAAGCCACGGCUAACUACGUG